rnacentral:rRNA from 1 species
UACGGAGGGUGCAAGCGUUAUCCGGAUUCACUGGGUUUAAAGGGUGCGUAGGUGGGCAGGUAAGUCAGUGGUGAAAUCUCCGGGCUUGACCCGGAAACUGCCAUUGAUACUAUCUGUCUUGAAUACCGUGGAGGUGAGCGGAAUAUGUCAUGUAGCGGUGAAAUGCUUAGAUAUGACAUAGAACACCAAUUGCGAAGGCAGCUCACUACACAAUCAUUGACGCUGAGGCACGAAAGCGUGGGGAUCAAACAGG